GCAGGGAUAGCUCAGUGGUACGAGCGCAUGCUUAGCAAGCAUGGGGUCCUGGGUUCAAUCUCCAGUACCUCCA
rnacentral:tRNA from 1 species